rnacentral:rRNA from 1 species
GAUGAACGCUAGCUACAGGCUUAACACAUGCAAGUCGAGGGGCAGCGGGAUUGAAGCUUGCUUCAAUUGCCGGCGACCGGCGCACGGGUGAGUAACGCGUAUCCAACCUUCCGUACACUCAGGGAUAGCCUUUCGAAAGAAAGAUUAAUACCUGAUGGUAUGAUGAGAUUGCAUGAUAUCAUCAUUAAAGAUUUAUCGGUGUACGAUGGGGAUGCGUUCCAUUAGGUAGUAGGCGGGGUAACGGCCCACCUAGCCAACGAUGGAUAGGGGUUCUGAGAGGAAGGUCCCCCACAUUGGAACUGAGACACGGUCCAAACUCCUACGGGAGGCAGCAGUGAGGAAUAUUGGUCAAUGGACGAGAGUCUGAACCAGCCAAGUAGCGUGAAGGAUGAAGGUCCUACGGAUUGUAAACUUCUUUUAUAAGGGAAUAAACCCGCCCACGUGUGGGAGCUUGUAUGUACCUUAUGAAUAAGCAUCGGCUAACUCCGUG